rnacentral:lncRNA from 1 species
UUUUUGAAUUUUAUGAUUUUUAGUUUAAUUCCAUUUUUUUUAAUAAUUCAUAAUAAAUUUAAUAUUGAUCCAAAAAAUAUGAGACUUUCACCAAAAAAUUUCAAAUAUUUUUCCCUUUCAUAUUCUGAAUUAAAAUUAUUUGUUGGAUCAUUAUUAAUAUUUUUCAUGAAUUAAUGGGUUUUUCAUUUGUUUUUAAUUGUUUAAAAAUAUUUUUAAGUGUCCAAAAAUUAUGAAAUUUUU